GAUUCAUAUUACAUUUGGGAAAAAAAGAAGAUUCAAGAACUGAAAGCUAAAUCCCUCAGAAGAAAAAUCGUACAUCAAGAGUUGAAGGAAGAUCUAGAGAGAUGCAGAAAACAAUUUUCUUAAGAAUACAGCUGUUUCUGAGCUUCCAUCUACAUCUCGCUGGGCUUCACCAAGAGGAUGUAAUAGAAGGCCAAAUAUGAAUUGGAAUCCAGUUUCCAAGGGGAACUAAGCAAUACUGAGGAAAUUUUUAAAAAAAUUAUGAGCUUUAAAAAAAGGAAGAAAUAAUGUACAUUGAGCUUUGAGAACUCUACUCCCAUCACUAUCAGUUUGAUAUCAAAGCUCUGUAUAUAAGACUCAAGAGCUGUGACUUGCAGAAUCCAAGUUAAUUUGCUUCAUUAUAGAAAUUUAGCAUCCCUCCACCAUUGUUUUUCCUUCUCAUAGUGACCAAGCCCACUGUGACAGAGUUAAUAAUUAAAUGCAAAGUCCCCCCAAAAUUUCUUGUACCUCUGAAUUAAUCACUGGUUUAAUAGGAGCAGGUGAUCAUCUUAUGAGCACUUAGAGCAUCCAAUUCAUGAUUUGUACCAUUUCCUCACACCUAUACUAAGGAGAAGCCUAUCCAUUUGUGAGAUAUUUCUUACUUCACCCAUCUUGUGACUCUGCUGACAUAUGAUUUCACUUAACCAUCACAUGUCAAUCAGUGGAAUUAUUCACUAUCUAUUAUGGCUGUUCUUGAAUGUCCAGACCUCUAACCUUAUAAAAAUCGGGCCCUUGAAGGACGAGGAAUCUCAGAUCGUGGGGAAGAGCUGAGCUCUUCUUCAUUAGAGAGAACUGUGGAUCCUUUAAGUCAGUGCCCUUGCUCAGAGCUCGACCUUAGGCUCUUCUACUGGAGGUGGGAUACUUUUUUUUUAAUAAUUUUUUAUUGAUAGAAUGCAUGCCAGGGUAAUUUUUUACAGCAUUAUCCCUUGCAUUCAUUUUUGUUCCGAUUUUUCCCCUCCCUCCCUCCACCCCUUCCCCCAAAUGGCAAGAGUCCUUUACAUGUUGAAUGGGUUGCAGUAUAUCCUAGAUACAAUAUAUGUGUGCAGAACCAAACAGUUUUCUUGUUGCACAGGGAGAAUUGAAUUCAGAAGGUAUAAAUAACCCAGGAAGAAAAACAAAAAUGCAAGCAGUUUAUAUUCAUUUCCAGUGUUCUUUCUCUGGGUGUAGCUGCUUCUAUCCAUCUUUGAUCAAUUAAGGCUCUCUUUAUCAAAGAGGUCCACUUCCAUCAGAAUACAUCCUCAAACAGUAUUGUUGUUGAGGUAUAUAAUGAUCUCCUGGUUCUGCUCAUUUCACUCAGCAUCAGUUCAUGUAAGUCUCGCCAGUCCUCUCUAUAUUCAUGGAGGUGGGAUACUCUUAAUUUCCAUAGUGAUAACUCCUCUGGUGGGAUAGUAAUGCAUGGGCCACAGCCUUUUUUGACCAAUCCCUGCAAGGACCCAAAAAGCAAAUGCUCACAAAGUGGCAUUUUCAUGGAAGGAUUGUCCACGGACACUGGCCCCUUGCUAUCUGCACAUAUAUUCUCUGCACCUAAGUCCGGGGAGAGAUUCAGCAAUGGAAUUGCCAGUUCUUCACUUUCAGCCAGCUAGCUAAUUUUGAAACUUUGUGUUGGUAAGGUAAAAAUCAUUUUUAUUUUAAACUUUAAAUUUAUUUGACAAGAAGUAAUCAUUCUUCUCAUCAGAAGAAAUAUUUCCUAUUCCUAUUAUAAACACACUUCUUGUUACUAUAAAAAGAUAAAUUAAACAAAUAGUUUUGCAGAUUAUCCUAUUUUGUUUUUCUGUCUACUUAAUUACUUAUGUGCUGCUACAAAAAGGGAAGGAAUAUCAAUCUGCUACUGCUCUGAUCUUGAUAAAAAUUUUCAGUGUGGCCAUGUAAUUGAAAGCUGUAGUGAAGUUUUGCUACAGUUAUUCUAUAGUUCACUUUAAAUAGUUUGUCAUUUUUUUAGAAAAAGAAAUAGAUUCUAAAUCAUGAAAUAUAAUGUUCUUGAGAUCCUAUCCCAGCUGAGACUCUAGACAAGUAGUAAUGUACAAACCCCCAAUGUCUUAUUCUGUACAGUUCCCAUUGCCACAUAACAUAAGACAAUUUAUUUGAAUUAUGUUUAUGAUAUGAAAUGAGACUAGAGACAAUGUGCCACCUUUUCAGCAUUGAGAAAUUGAAAAUUUUUAUGCUUUUUUAAAUGCCCCAUAGCAAAAUCAUUCCUGACUAUCUA